rfam:Oryza barthii chromosome 1, whole genome shotgun sequence.
AAAAAGACAAACACUGGGUUUUCGUGUCCAACGUUUGAGUGUCCGUCUUAUAUGAAAUUUUUUUUAUAAUUAGUAUUUUCAUUGUUGUUAGAUGAUAAAACAUGAUUAAUAAUUUAUGCGUGACUUGUCUUUUUAAUUUUUUCAUAAUUUUUUUAAAUAAGACAGACGGUCAACCGUUGGACACAAAAACCCAGAGUUUGUCUUUUU